GCUCUAUUGGCCAAAUGGUAAGGCACCCGACUCCUAAUCGGGAGACUGUGGGUUCGAGUCCCAUGUAGGGCG
rfam:Kuraishia capsulata CBS 1993 genomic scaffold, Kuraishia_capsulata_scaffold_4